CACCGCGGUUAUACGAGAGACCCAAGUUGCUAGAACUCGGCGUAAAGCGUGGUUAAUAGAUUAAACACUAAGACCAAACACCCCCUAAGCUGUUAUACGCACACGAGGGCAGGAGGACCUUUUACGAAAGUGGUCUUAAUAUUUAUGACCCCACGAAAGCUAGGGAA
rnacentral:rRNA from 1 species